UUUGACGUGGUAGAUGCCGAUGACGGGCCGGUGGUCCGAGGUCUUUAUGCUGGAGCAGCUGGCGUAUUUCAGCACGUGGAUGUCGUCUGCGUACCUGGUCCGGAACAAGAUCCUGUCCUGGUGGGAAGUGGAUGUUGGCCUCCUGGAAGCCUUUGAAGAUUGAACCUGAAAACACAUCUGCAUUCAAUAUCAUCUAGUGGCAACAAAUCUUAAAAGAGUCUGCAUGGGUCUGUCUUCCUACCUACUUCUCCAUCAACCUGCCUAUUUCGCUGGUCGUGCUCCAUCAGGGCGUCCAUGUCGUCCCCAGACGUUCUCUUGAUAAUACUCUCUACGCUGGCCCGC